GAUGAACGCUGGCGGCGUGCCUAAUACAUGCAAGUCGAGCGAACAGACGAGGAGCUUGCUCCUCUGACGUUAGCGGCGGACGGGUGAGUAACACGUGGAUAACCUACCUAUAAGACUGGGAUAACUUCGGGAAACCGGAGCUAAUACCGGAUAAUAUAUUGAACCGCAUGGUUCAAUAGUGAAAGACGGUUUUGCUGUCACUUAUAGAUGGAUCCGCGCCGCAUUAGCUAGUUGGUAAGGUAACGGCUUACCAAGGCGACGAUGCGUAGCCGACCUGAGAGGGUGGUCGGCCACACUGGAACUGAGACACGGUCCAGACUCCUACGGGAGGCAGCAGUAGGGAAUCUUCCGCAAUGGGGGAAAGCCUGACGGAGCAACGGCGAGUGAGUGAUGAAGGUCUUCGGAUCGUAAAACUCUGUUAUUAGGGAAGAACAAAUGUGUAAGUAACUAUGCACGUAUUGACGGUACCUAAUCAGAAAGCCACGGCUAACUACGUG
rnacentral:rRNA from 1 species